rnacentral:rRNA from 1 species
CACGUAGUUAGCCGUGGCUUGUUUUCAGGGUACCGUCUUCGUCUCUUCCCCUGUCAAAGAAGUUUACAACCCGAAAGCCUUCUUCCUUCACGCGGCAUUGCUGGGUCAGGCUUGCGCCCAUUGCCCAAUAUUCCCCACUGCUGCCUCCCGUAGGAGUCUGGGCCGUAUCUCAGUCCCAAUGUGGCCGGCCAACCUCUCAGUCCGGCUACUGAUCGUCGCCUUGGUGGGCCAUUACCUCACCAACUAGCUAAUCAGACGCGAGGCCAUCUCUCAGCGAUAAAUCUUUGGUACAGAGACCAUGCGACCCCUGUACAUUAUGCGGUAUUAGCAGCCGUUUCCAGCUGUUGUCCCCCUCUGAAAGGCAGGUUCCUCACGCGUUACUCACCCGUCCGCCACUAAACAACUCAUUCCGUUGUCCGAAAACUCCUUCAUGAGCGUCCCGUUCGACUUGCAUGUGUUAAGCAUGCCGCAGCGUUCGUCCUGAGCCAGGACUCAAACUCU